CCUUAAUUGUACUGAUCCUUUAAAAGAUUAAAUAGUGCCCGUGUUAAAUCUGUACCUACUGUGUUUCACAGUAGUGUUUGGAUUAUUUAUGGAAACGUUAUAUUCAGUUGUGCCUAUAGAUUUUUAAAAGCUGAAUUUAGUUUAGUAGUUUAAUGAGUUAGGAUUUGUGAACAUGAACGGAAUUCAAAUAUUAACGGUAACAAACAGCCACAGUUCAGAUUGAUGUGAUUUGUGUUAAAACAGGUUUUUUUUUUCUAUUAUUAUUAUUAUUAUUAUUAUUAUUAUUAUUAUUAUUAUUAUUAUUAUUAUUAUUAUUUUUACCGUAUCUGUGUUAAAGGAACAUAUAAUGCAGCUGCAGGUUUAUUCUUUUGAGUUACAAACUCAUGUCCUUUUUUUUAAAAGAAAGUGUUUUAAUUUUAAUGUGUAAUUUCCUGUUUCAUAAGUUUGAAUAUUGUAAUUUACGGUAUAUCAUGUGCAUGUGUUACACCUUUUAGUCCUGAAAAACUUCAUUGCAACUUCAAAUACUGUCCUACCUUUUCUAUAUUGAUAUAGUCUUCCACGUUGUUGUUUUUUAAGAGUGCAUGUUUUUAGUUUUCGAUAAUGAACAGAAAGAUGUUGCUCUCCAGUUCUACUCUCAGACGAAGGGCUCGUGCAAAUGUAGACAGACUGCUCAGAAGAGUGACUGAAGAAAAUGAAAUGCAGAUGAUUACCUGAAGGCAAGACAGAAGUUAAGACUCCUUAACUUGCUCAACAUCAGAUUUGGAGUCAGAAAAGGAAGACGAUGUGACAAAGCCAAAGAGACAAAGGACGGCCAGAAUUCGGUUUGGUGACACUGAUAGUGACAUCGAUGAUAGUGCGUCAAAAAGGGUUCAAGAAAGACAAUAAAAAGCUUCCUGCCAGCUGCAGCAGCAGUACCUCGCCCACCUUCAACUUCACCUGCUACACAAAGACCUCAAGUAAGUGCAUCACCUAGCCAGCCUCCAGACGAGUGUGUUGAAGACUUCAUUCAGUCACCUUCAAUGAUGGCACAGACACCAAGGAGAGUCACUGCUGUACCCACUACUGGAUUUCACUCGACCAUCAAGAAGUGAAAUGCUCACUUUCACUACCACUGGUAGAGUUGGGAGGAAUGGAACUGCAUCAAUUCCCUGCACUGGUAAUCUCCUCAUCAUGAUGUUAUUUUAGACCUAGAAAUGCUUAUUUGUACCAGUGUUGUUUGAACUCUCUGGAUGCCAGAGUAAGAUGGCAGCCACGAGCAAUCUGUCAAAACACCCCUUUUGCAUGAUUUGAGUUUGAGUGAUUUCAGUGAUUUUCACAGUAAAGUCACAUAAGCAAACUGAAAUAAAAAAAACAGGCAUUUGCACAGAAUUGAGUUAAUGUACAAACAUAUUACCUGAAACACAACUGCAAAAAAUCUAUAAAUGUAAUAAACAUUUGAA